UAGUCCACGCCGUAAACGAUGGAUACUAGCUGUUCGGACUUCGGUCUGAGUGGCCAAGCGAAAGUGAUAAGUAUCCCACCUGGGGAGUACGUUCGCAAGAAUGAAACUCAAAGGAAUUGACGGGGGCCCGCACAAGCGGUGGAGCAUGUGGUUUAAUUCGAUGAUACGCGAGGAACCUUACCAGGGCUUAAAUGUAGUCUGACAGCUGUAGAGAUACGGUUUUCUUCGGACAGAUUACAAGGUGCUGCAUGGUUGUCGUCAGCUCGUGCCGUGAGGUGUCUGGUUAAGUCCUAUAACGAGCGCAACCCCUGUUGUUAGUUGCCAGCGAGUCAAGUCGGGAACUCUAACAAGACUGCCAGUGCAAACUGUGAGGAAGGUGGGGAUGACGUCAAAUCAUCACGGCCCUUACGUCCUGGGCUACACACGUGCUACAAUGGUAGGUACAGAGAGCAGCCACAACGCGAGUUGGAGCGAAUCUAUAAAACCUAUCACAGUUCGGAUCGG
rnacentral:rRNA from 1 species